UGGACUUGCCGACGCCGCUCUCGCCGAUGAUGAGGACCUUCAGGGCGGGCAGCAGGUCCUCGUCCAUCCUGACGCUGCUCCGCUCCAGCCCAGCUGGCCGCCUGGUCCGCUCUCACCCCUUCACCCCGAGAACUGCCCGCGCAUGCGCACCGCUCCGCGUGCCACCACCUUUUCACACCGGGUGUCAGUGGUGAAGAGAAGAACAUGAAUGCUGCUUUCACUCACAUGCUAUGACAGGCACAAACAGGAGCAUUGUGACUCAUGGCUUGUGCAGGAUUGCUUAUGGCCAAGUGUAACAGCGAGAGAACAAAGACCGUAGUUAACUCUGGUUUUGGAAAGUUUCACAAUAAGCCCAAGUCCAAUGUCAAAUGGUGGAGAACUGAGAGAAAGAAAAGCAUUUUGGCCUCCACAUCUUGAAACCAGAAUUCCACUAAACAGAAAGGAAAGAUCUCCGAAAGCAUUUUGCAUCCUCUGUACCAACUACUUUUGCUGACACUGAAUUCUUGGAGGCUGAGGCACAGUACAAGAAAGAAAAAGGGAAAUGGUGCCAGAUUUCCACAUUCCCUGAGUAUAGAAGUUGUUUUUCCAUCCCCAAGCUACCACCACAGGACUUCCCAGGAGCUCACUCUUCUACUUGAAAAAGAUUUGUUGGCCAGUAGAUUUUGAGAUUUGUAAUGCAUGACCCACUAGUUUCUCACUAGAUCUAUUGAAUAAUAAAGAAUAAUCUACU